rnacentral:tRNA from 1 species
GCCACCGUAGCUCAGCCGGCAGAGCAGCCGCUUCGUAAGCGGCGGGUCAAGGGUUCGAUUCCCUUCGGUGGCUCUA